AUCUAAGCACGAGUUAGAUUCGAGUUAGAUUCAAAUAAAAUCUCAAAGGCGUGGAACCGCGAAACGCCGAGAAUUUCGGAUUUAUCGAUGAAUUAUCUUGUCCUCACGGAACAUUGGAGAAAUGGGGGAGAGGGUGAGAGUGAUUGAAUAGGCAAUCAGGUAGUGUCCCCUAUCUAUUAACAGGAAAUUAUUCUGCAAACCGAACAGACGGAACUCUUGUGAUAAUUACGCGCACUGCUCAGCAAAACGAUUUUACUGUACGAGUUAUUCUGAGAGAGGACAAUUACCCUCGAAAGCGAAAGAAUUUUUGGAUUGGAGAAAACAAACCGCUAAUAUCUGGUUGAAAUUAAAAUUCUUAGAGCUAUCGU